rnacentral:tRNA from 1 species
GAGGGUAUAGCUCGGUGGUAGAGUGCAUGCUUAGCAUGCACGAGGUCCUGGGUUCAAUCUCUGGUACCUCCA